rnacentral:rRNA from 1 species
AACGCGAAGAACCUUACCUGGGUUUGACAUGUGCCGGACAGCCUCAGAGAUGGGGUUUCCGUAAGGUCGGUGCACAGGUGGUGCAUGGCUGUCGUCAGCUCGUGUCGUGAGAUGUUGGGUUAAGUCCCGCAACGAGCGCAACCCUCGUUCCAUGUUGCCAGCGCGUAAUGGCGGGGACUCAUGGGAGACUGCCGGGGUCAACUCGGAGGAAGGUGGGGAUGAGGUCAAGUCAUCAUGCCCCUUAUGUCCAGGGCUUCACACAUGCUACAAUGGCCGGUACAGAGGGCUGCGAGACCGUGAGGUGGAGCGAAUCUCUUAAAGCCGGUCUCAGUUCGGAUCGGGGUCUGCAACUCGACCCCGUGAAGUUGGAGUCGCUAGUAAUCGCAGAUCAGCAACGCUGCGGUGAAUACGUUCCCGGGCCUUGUACACACCGGCUAC